UGGGGAAUAUUGCACAAUGGAGGGAACUCUGAUGCAGCGACGCCGCGUGAGUGAUGAAGGAAUUCGUUUCGUAAAACUCUGUUCUAUGGGAAGAAAAGGACUGUACCAUAGGAGAAAGCUCCGGCUAAAUACGUGCCAGCAGCCGCGGUAAUACGUAUGGAGCGAGUGUUGUCCGGAAUUAUUGGGCGUAAAGGGUGCGCAGGCGGCUUUACAAGUUGGAUGUGAAAUAUUGUGGCUCAACCACAAACGUGCAUCCAAAACUGCAAAGCUUGAGUUAAGGAGAGGUAAGUGGAAUUCCUGGUGUAGCGGUGGAAUGCGUAGAUAUCAGGAGGAAUACCGGUGGCGAAGGCGACUUACUGGACUUAACCUGACGCUCAGGCACGAAAGCGUGGGGAGCAAACAGG
rnacentral:rRNA from 1 species